UGACGUUAGGAGGUGGAACAGGUUUUUAAACUGAAGUUUCACUGCUUCGUCAUUUAUGAUGGGAUCCAAUCUGGGAGCUGAAAUAUGAGGAACUUUGUUGUGGAGGCCUGGACCACGACGAAACAUUUCCCACAAGAGCUGUCCUGAAUGUUAAAGCCUGUCCACAGUGGGGUGAAGACUUAGCAGGAGACCAAACUGAACAGAAAAUACUUGUGGAAGAUGGAGCCACAAACCCCAUUUGACUCUAGAGAAAAUGCUGCAGGGAAUCCAUCACCACCACUUCUUCAGCCAAGUGUAUCUGAUCCCAACUAUGUCGACAGGCUCUAUGAUUUUUGCCAGAGAGAGAACAUCGCUAUAACACUUGAAGAGUCCAGUCCUAUCACUUACCAGUCAGCUUCUGCACUAAUUUGGAAAUCAUAUUUAUCAUGUCUUAUUCUACAAAGAAUUAAGGCUUUCAUGAUGUUACAGAGAACGCUG
ensembl:lncRNA